CUUCACCCGGUUAGUUCCUAUUUGUCUUCACAUCAGCAUAAAAGUCAUGCACAUCCUAAGGGAAACCGUAUUGUCUCAGUGGUGACCUUACUAUGGCCACCUGCCUUCUGGAGCAGAUAAGUCCCCAGCACCCAGCAUACAGUCUCAUGGUCCCCUGUGACCUUUGAAGACAGUGUCAGAGUGACAUCUGUAUAACGAUUUCAUUAAUAUUCAUCUCAUCCCUAGAUUGUAAGCUCCCCCACCGAAUCACUGCCAAAUACAGAGGUACCAGCACAUGGUGGAUGCUAAAAAGAAUGUGUUGUACGAAUAAGUGAAAAAAAUAAAUUAAUGAAUGAGUGAAAGAGUAUCCAUAGCGGAGGAAACCAAAUAUUCAAAACACAGAGGUGGGGGAAAAGCAUGACACAAUCAGGAAACAAAAAAGCAGCUUAAAAUGUCUGGAUUGGGGGCGCCUGGGUGACUCACUCAGUUGAAUGUCUUACUCUUGAUUUCGUCUCUGGUCGUGAUCCCAGGGUUGUGGAAUCCACCCCUGUGUCGGGCUCCAUGUUGAGUGUGGAGCCAGCUUAAAAUUCUCUCCCUCUCUCUCUCUCUCUCUCUCUCAAAAAUAAAUACGGAUUACAAAAAUUAAAAAAUAUAAAGCUAUUAUUGGAAAACGAACACAAUAAUGAGAAUGUUCUAUCUGCUCCAGAUUUUUAUUUAUUUUUAUUUAAAAAAAAUUUUUUUAACGUUUAUUUAUUUUUGAGACAGAGAGAGACAGAGCAUGAACGGGGGAGGGGCAGAGAGAGGGAGACACAGAAUCUGAAACAGGCUCCAGGCCCUGAGAUGUCAGCAGAGAGCCCGAUACGGGGCUCGAACUCAGGGACUGCGAGAUCGUGACCUGAGUCGAAGUCGGCCGCUUCGCCUGGGUGGCGACUGAGCCACCCAGGCGCCCCUGCUCCAGAUUUUUAAUCAGGGGCUUAAUCUUUGAAGUCACAACACAACUCUGCUGCCUAGAACUUUCUUAUCCUCCAUUUUAAUCAAUUAUACAGUCAUACAAAUGUUGGAACAUUUAAAAGAUCUUUCUCAAUUAACCCCUUCCUCACCUUAUAGAUAAGAAAUCUGAGCUCCAAGAAGGACAAAUGACUUAAACAAGGUUAUGUAACUGGUAGUGGUGCCAGGGAGACCUCGCUCUCAGUCCAAUCACACGUCUUUUUUUCUUAGUUGAAUUGACAUCUUCCUUCCUGAAACUCCCAGUUUUUUUUUUUUAUUUAAAGAACAAAAAUACAUUAAAAAGAAGAUCCAUUUAUCUUUCACAUUAAGUCCUAUAACUAUUACUAGAUUGUAAGAAAUGUUUUUAAAAGGCUAAAAAAAAUAAACAACUGCAUCUUUCUGUUUCUUAGUGAAAA
rnacentral:lncRNA from 1 species